GGCGCGAUAACAAAGCGGUUAUGUAACGGAUUGCAAAUCCGUCUAGCCCGGUUCGACUCCGGGUCGCGCCUCCA
rnacentral:tRNA from 1 species